UUCCCCGUCCGCCUGCCGCCGCCUCCCCGCGAGGCUGCGCCGCGGAUCCCGUCGUGGAGCCGCCGCGGAUCCCCAUCGCCGUAGCCGCCGCGUCCCCUUCUCCCGGCGGUGCCCCCACCCCUGCGCGCCCGAGUCGUCCUCCCCGUCGCCGGAGCAUCCGCGGAUCCCCAUCGCCGGACUGGGCCUCCUCGCAGUACUCCGAGAGGUCCGCGAUCCUGCUGCGAAGCAAGCUGGCGCACCACACUCUGCAGUUCUGCUGCGUCACGCUGUUCAUCCGCGCCGGCCGUCGUGAGCAUCUGAUCCCUCUCGUGAAGGAGCUGCCGCGCAGCAGGGAGCGCCUUGACAUUGUGGUCAUCAGGGCGGACUCCACAGGAUAUUAUGUUAGCUAAUGCUCGCUGGUGGCUGUGAGCUUGAUAUUAUGUAUUGACAGAGAAUAAAGGGUAGGUUCCAAGAAAAAAUGGAUUCGAUUCUAUAAAAAGCUGGUUGAUCUAAUCAGCUGAACAUGGCUUGCUCUGAACAUGGCUUCUCAGAUCAUUACAUUUACAUAGGUUCCUGAUUUUGCACUCCAUCAAACUGUAACUUCCUAACAGCAGUUUGCUCUGUAGCAUCUUGAGUAACUCCCAAAACGAGAUUUGUGUA